rnacentral:rRNA from 1 species
UCCGUCAAUACCAACACCAUAUCCGAACCCUUUCUCCCUACUGAGCUGUUCAAUUCAGAUAUUGAAGCACUUAUGCUAGAACUAGUAAUGUGAAUCUAACAUUCUCACAAAUGCAAGUGUAAAUCAGAUCGAAUAACUCACUGAUAAUUAACGACCUUAUUGAGAAUACUUCAGCAACAACCCAAGAAAACCCUGAACCCAACAUCGUUAACCUAACACAAGAGCAUUUCAAGAAAGAUUAAAAGACGCAGAAGGAACUCGGCAAACUUUGAACCCCGCCUGUUUACCAAAAACAUCGCCUCUUGCUAAACAACAUGUAUAAGAGGUCCAGCCUGCCCAGUGACUAUAUGUUCAACGGCCGCGGUAUUCUGACCGUGCAAAGGUAGCGUAAUCACUUGUCUUUUAAAUAAAGACUAGUAUGAAUGGCACCACGAAGGUUCAACUGUCUCCUGCAUCCAAUCCAUUAAACUGUCCUCCCCGUGCAGAGACGGGGAUACGCCCAUAAGACGAGAAGACCCUAUGGAGCUUUAAACUUAAGGCAACUGCUAAAUAACCCUUCCCCACACGGAAUAACAUCCAACUAAGCAACAAUGACCCAAAGUUUUCGGUUGGGGCGACCACGGAGAAAAAAAAAUCCUCCUUGAUGUACGAGGCCUUACCCUCUUAGCCAAGAACGACGGUUCUAAGCAACAAAACAUUUGACCACUAUUGAUCCAGUCUUACUGAUCAACGAACCAAGUUACCCUAGGGAUAACAGCGCAAUCCAUUUCGAAAGUUCCUAUCGACAAAUGGGUUUACGACCUCGAUGUUGGAU